GGCACUAUUAAAAGCAGUGAGCAGCAGCCUCUCCUCCCCUCGGUUUAGUCCAUGACUCACUCACUCAUUAUGAGCAUCAGGAGCCAGAGCCGGGAAGACAAUUCAUUCUGACAACACUGCACGGUAACCAGAUAGUUACAUCUGAUGCAGAGGAAGGGAUGAACUAUGAAGAUAAGACAGAAUCGGCCUCAAAGCAGUUUAUAAUCUACAAAACAAUGCACCAACUAGUGAUGCCCAGAACGACUUCUCCACUUGGCGUAUCACUGCCGUGUUGCCCGCUGUGCUCCGACCCUUCCUCCCCGCAGUAGGGUCCUGCUGCUGCCGCCUGCUUGCUGACACGGAACUUCCUUGCCGUCGCAGCUGCCUCAUUUUCAGUGCCAGCUGACCCACCGUCUGGACAUAGGACUUUCAGGAUUCAUUUAUUUAUUCGAGUCCAAGUCCCUGCUAAUGGCCCAGGAAAGCAGCAGAAGAUGGCCCUGCCAUUAGCAGGGACUUGGACUGGAAGUGGAGCCGCUGAACUGGUGCACAUAUGGACAUUGGCGUUGCAGCCAGCAGCCCAACUCUCUAUGCCACGGCACCAGCCCCAAGAAAGAAGCUUUGAACAACCCUUCAUGAUGGUCCCAGAGCUUAGUAUAUGGGAUGCUGGUGCUGCAGGUGGAGGGUUAACCUUCUACGCCAUAGCACUGACCCUAACAUAUAAUUAUUAAGGAGUUAGCAGGAGAAGGUGUUUGGUGCCACUGAUAUUAAAUUGGCCCCACAAAUUUCUUUAUGUUGUAUUUUCAACUUCCAAAUUGCUUCAGUAACUUCUCUUGCUCAGUUUGGGAAAGAUUUUUAAGGGGUUGGAUCUGAGCAGUCACAUGGCGGUUGAGAGUGGAGGGCUCCUUGCCAGGUAGGAAGGUUCACACAGGUGAGGAAGGCCAGAGCAUCACACACUUUCUUGGCCUACUUGGGUAGGAGAGGGAGCAAGUAAAGGGUACAAAUCAUGCUUACUGUGUGUCGUAGGCCCAUUCUUGUUUAGCCAGAACGCCUUUUCUGUUUAUUUUUCGUGACAUAUCAGUGGGUAUUUUGUCCAGUAAGUCCACAUGACAUAUUCAUAUCGACAGUUGGCCAGUUUUCUUCUUUAUUAGUACACAGGGUAAAAUCACAGUUCAGUAAGUCAUUAAAGUUAGUCUCUUGCAGGGUCAGACUAUACUUAUUUCAGCUAAUCAUUACAGGUAUCUGUUAAAUAUUUCAACACAUAUAAAACCCAUGAGAUGUAUAGUUUGUUAGAUUAAAAUUUUAUUUUAGUUGCCUGAAGCUAACUUUUAUUUGCAUUUUAAAAAUUUAUCCUAAGUGUGCUGAGAAUGGAAAAUAGCACUCAGGUGUCCAAGAUAACUACUGGGUCAUGUGGUUAUGGAUGUAUUUAGCCAGAGUUCCACUAUAGCCUGAUAAAAAUUACUACAUAAAAGUGGCAAAGCUUUUAAGCAAACUUUAAGAAACACAGCAUGGCAUGAAUGGCCUCAGCACCAGUGUUGACCUCUCCCUGGCUCUGGAGCACUUUUCUUUAGGUCAUUGUCAUUUGAACACCAUUUGUUGCAUUUGUACAAAACUCCCAACAGGACCAUGCAAGUGUGAGAAAAAUAUUUGAGAAACUGUGAUAGAAAAACCAUUUUAUUGUUCCUAAAUAAAGGUAGCCUGGAUAAUUGCUGUAUUCAUCACCUAAAAUAAAAUGUUUGAUUAUACUCCCACAUCUUUAACCUUGGUGUUUUUAUACCUUUAUUGAUGACACUUUAAAAAAGUGUUUACGUUUUUAUUCAAAAUGCAGAAAGAGGGAGAGACAGAGAGAGACAGAGAUCUUCCAUCUCUUGUUUCACUCCCCAAAUGACUGUCACAGCCAGGUUUGGGGCAAGGUGCAGCCAGAAGCCAGGUUCUCCAUCCCAGUCUCCCACAUAGGUAGUAGGGGCCCACACACCUGGGCCAUCUGCUGCUGCCUUUGUAGGCACAUUACAAGGGUGCUGGAUCAGAAACAGAACAGCCCAGUCUCAAACCAGCACUCUGAUAUGGGAUGCCACCAUCACAAGUGGUGGCUUAACAUGCAGGGCCCUCAAUGACACUUUAAAAAAAAAUGAAAAUUAACUUACUUAUUUGAUAAAUAGAGAGAGACUGUUCUCCCACCCACUGGUUUACUCUCUAAAAGUCUGCAAUGUCAAGGCCUGGACUGGGCUGAAACCAGGGACUGGGAAUACAAUUUGGGUUUCCUACAUGGGCAGCAGAAAUCCAGUUACUUGAGGCAUCAUUAUUGCCUCCCAGGGUCUGCAUUAACAGGAAGCUGGAGUCAGGAUCUGAAGCCAAGAGUGGAAACAGGGCACUCCAAUGUGGGGUAUGGAUAUUUUAACUGUUUCAUAACCAGUAUCCUAAAUGCCCAACCCUCCAUUGCACUUCUAUAUUGUUCCUUUGUGUAUAAAACCGUCAUUUAUUUUUAUUUUUUUUUUAGAUAUCUGGCGGGGUGGAGAGAGAAUCCAUGUGUUUUCUGCUCUAAUCCAGAUGCUUGCAAUAGUCUGUGGUUGGCAUAAAUUCUAACAAUAAAAGGAUACUUUUCCACAGGAAAUUUUAAAUCACACUAAUUCAUAGUGUAAAGAGGUGAGAUAAGUAAACGUUGUUGUAAAAUGAAGAAUUGACUGCUAAUUCACAAGAGAUGUGUACAUUCAAUACUUCACUAGAUCAAUGCAUGAGGAGAAAAAAAUUAGAAAAGGGGGCUUUAAAAGAAUAACCUGCCGGCGCUGCGGCUCAAUAGGCUAAUCCUCCGCCUGCGGCGCCGGCACACCGGGUUCUAGUCCCUGUCGGGGCGCCGGAUUCUGUCCCGGAUGCCCCUCUUCCAGGCCAGCCCUCUGCUGUGGCCUGGGAGUGCAGUGGAGGAUGGCCCAAGUGCUUGGGCCCUGCACCCCAUGGGAGACCAGGAAGACGCGACUGGCUCCUGCC